CAACGCCAAACCUUUGCUUUUGAGGUGUUUGUUUUUUUUUUUCCUUUGAGGUUUUACGCUAUUUCUUUGGAUUACCGAAGAAGCCUUUUGGAUAUUUCACCUUUUUCCAAAAGGACGAGACAUGUUCCAACUUUGUCACUGAUGUCUAUAGACAAAGUCCAAGAUUGAUCCAAAAUGGAGGAAGCCUGGCGUGUAUUCGUCAGGAAUUUUGCCAAACCUAAAUGGACUUUACUGGAAAUAAUUCUCGUCUUGUUGUUACAUGGGGCUGUAUUGCAAAGGACGACCGUGUACGGUCAAGAAUCGGCUGCAGCCUCGACAGCAGAAUGCUCCGACCGAAUGGACAUCAUAAUCAUGAUUGGGUCAUCGAACAAUGUGACAGAAGAAAAUUUUGGGAAUUUGAAAAAAUUUAUUCAGAAUUUAUUAAGGACAG